rnacentral:rRNA from 1 species
UUAGGAAUUUUGGGCAAUGGGCGAAAGCCUGACCCAGCAACGCCGCGUGCGGGAGGAAGGCCUUCGGGUCGUAAACCGCUUUUGUCGGGGACGAUGAUGCCGGUACCCGACGAAGAAGCCCCGGCUAACUACGUGCCAGCAGCCGCGGUAAUACGUAGGGGGCGAGCGUUGUCCGGAAUCAUUGGGCGUAAAGGGCGCGUAGGCGGUAGAGCGCGUCGGCCGUGAAAACGCCGGGCUCAACCCGGCGCGGUCGGGCGAAACGGCUCUGCUGGAGGCCGGUAGAGGGUCGUGGAAUUCCGGGUGUAGUGGUGGAAUGCGUAGAGCUCCGGAGGAACACCAGAGGCGAAGGCGGCGACCUGGGCCGGACCUGACGCUGAGGCGCGAAAGCGUGGGGAGCGAGCCG